rnacentral:rRNA from 1 species
AGCAGCCGCGGUAAUUCCAGCUCCAAUAGCGUAUAUUAAAGUUGUUGCAGUUAAGAAGCUCGUAGUUGAAUUUCGGGAUCGACGGGUCGGUCGCGCCUCUGGUGUGUACUGGCCCUGUCGGUUUCUCCCUUCUGACGAACCACGAUGUCAUUAAUUUGGUGUCGUGGGAAAUCAGGACUGUUACUUUGAAAAAAUUAGAGUGUUUAAAGCAGGCAUUCGCUUGAAUACAUUAGCAUGGAAUAAUGAAAUAGGACGUUUGAUCUUAUUUUGUUGGUUUCUAAGAUCGACGUAAUGAUUAAUAGGGAUAGUUGGGGGCAUUAGUAUUCAAUUGUCAGAGGUGAAAUUCUUGGAUUUAUUGAAGACUAACUACUGCGAAAGCAUUUGCCAAGGAUGUUUUCAUUAAUCAAGAACGAAAGUUAGGGGAUCGAAGACGAUCAGAUACCGUCGUAGUCUUAACCAUAAACUAUGCCGACUAGGGAUCGGAUGAUGUUAAUUUUUUAAUGACUCAUUCGGCGCCUUA